rnacentral:rRNA from 1 species
CAUGCAGUCGACGGUGAAGCCAAGCUUGCUUGGUGGAUCAGUGGCGAACGGGUGAGUAACACGUGAGCAACCUGCCCUGGACUCUGGGAUAAGCGCUGGAAACGGCGUCUAAUACUGGAUAUGAGACGUGAUCGCAUGGUCGUGUUUGGAAAGAUUUUUCGGUCUGGGAUGGGCUCGCGGCCUAUCAGCUUGUUGGUGAGGUAAUGGCUCACCAAGGCGUCGACGGGUAGCCGGCCUGAGAGGGUGACCGGCCACACUGGGACUGAGACACGGCCCAGACUCCUACGGGAGGCAGCAGUGGGGAAUAUUGCACAAUGGGCGGAAGCCUGAUGCAGCAACGCCGCGUGAGGGAUGACGGCCUUCGGGUUGUAAACCUCUUUUAGCAGGGAAGAAGCGAAAGUGACGGUACCUGCAGAAAAAGCGCCGGCUAACUACGUGCCAGCAGCCGCGGUAAUACGUAGGGCGCAAGCGUUAUCCGGAAUUAUUGGGCGUAAAGAGCUCGUAGGCGGUUUGUCGCGUCUGCUGUGAAAUCCCGAGGCUC